CGGGACGGGUGAGUAAUGUCUGGGAAACUGCCUGAUGGAGGGGGAUAACUACUGGAAACGGUAGCUAAUACCGCAUAACGUCGCAAGACCAAAGAGGGGGACCUCGGGCCUCUUGCCAUCGGAUGUGCCCAGAUGGGAUUAGCUAGUAGGUGGGGUAACGGCUCACCUAGGCGACGAUCCCUAGCUGGUCUGAGAGGAUGACCAGCCACACUGGAACUGAGACACGGUCCAG
rnacentral:rRNA from 1 species